AGCGGGGUACAUGAAUUGGUCAACUCAUCAGGCUCAUGACCUGAAGACUGCAGGUUCGAAUCCUGUCCCCGCCU
rnacentral:tRNA from 1 species